AGAGUUUGAUCCUGGCUCAGGAUGAACGCUGGCGGCGUGCCUAACACAUGCAAGUCGAACGAAGCUUGACGGAUGAUUUCUUCGGAAUGAAACCAGAUAUGACUUAGUGGCGGACGGGUGAGUAACACGUGAGCAACCUGCCUUUCAGAGGGGGAUAACGGCUGGAAACGGUCGCUAAUACCGCAUGAUGUGUUCGGAUGGCAUCAUCUGAACAUCAAAGAUUUAUCGCUGAAAGAUGGGCUCGCGUCUGAUUAGAUAGUUGGUGGGGUAACGGCCUACCAAGUCGACGAUCAGUAGCCGGACUGAGAGGUUGAACGGCCACAUUGGGACUGAGAUACGGCCCAGACUCCUACGGGAGGCAGCAGUGGGGAAUAUUGCACAAUGGGGGAAACCCUGAUGCAGCAACGCCGCGUGAAGGAUGACGGUUUUCGGAUUGUAAACUUCUUUUCUUAGUGACGAAGACAGUGACGGUAGCUAAGGAAUAAGCAUCGGCUAACUACGUGCCAGCAGCCGCGGUAAUACGUAGGAUGCAAGCGUUAUCCGGAUUUACUGGGUGUAAAGGGAGCGCAGGCGGGACUGCAAGUUGGGUGUGAAAUACCGUGGCUUAACCACGGAACUGCAUCCAAAACUGUAGUUCUUGAGUGAAGUAGAGGCAAGCGGAAUUCCGAGUGUAGCGGUGAAAUGCGUAGAUAUUCGGAGGAACACCAGUGGCGAAGGCGGCUUGCUGGGCUUUAACUGACGCUGAGGCUCGAAAGUGUGGGGAGCAAACAGGAUUAGAUACCCUGGUAGUCCACACUGUAAACGAUGAUAGCUAGGUGUGGGGGGUCUGACCCCUUCCGUGCCGGAGUUAACGCAAUAAGCUAUCCACCUGGGGAGUACGACCGCAAGGUUGAAACUCAAAGGAAUUGACGGGGGCCCGCAC
rnacentral:rRNA from 1 species